UACGAAGGGGGGCUAGCGUUGCUCGGAAUCACUGGGCGUAAAGCGCACGUAGGCGGCUUUUUAAGUCAGGGGUGAAAUCCUGGAGCUCAACUCCAGAACUGCCUUUGAUACUGAGAAGCUUGAGUCCGGAAGAGGAGAGUGGAAUUCCCGGUGUAGCGGUGAAAUGCGCAGAUAUCGGGAAGAACACCCGUGGCGAAGGCGGCUCUCUGGGACGGUACUGACGCUGAGACGCGAAAGCGUAGGGAGCGAACAGG
rnacentral:rRNA from 1 species